rnacentral:rRNA from 1 species
UACGGGAGGCAGCAGUGGGGAAUAUUGCACAAUGGGCGAAAGCCUGAUGCAGCUAUGCCGCGUGUAUGAAGAAGGCCUUAGGGUUGUAAAGUACUUUCAUCGGGGAGGAAAAAACAAAACUAAUAAUUUUAUUUCUUGACGUUACCCGAAAAAGAAGCACCGGCUAACUCCGUGCCAGCAGCCGCGGUAAUACGGAGGGUGCUAGCGUUAAUCAGAAUUACUGGGCGUAAAGAGCACGUAGGUGGUUUUUUUAAGUCAGAUGUGGAAUCCCUGGGCUUAACCUAGGAACUGCAUUUUGAAACUGAAAUACUAGAGUAUCGUAGAGGGAGGUAGAAUUCUAGGUGUAGCGGUGAAAUGCGUAGAUAUCUGGAGGAAUACCUGUGGCGAAAGCGGCCUCCUAAACCGAAUACUGACACUGAGGUGCGAAAGCGUGGGGAGCAAACAGGGAUUAGAUACC